AAAUUUAUUGGAGCUUGCAAGGAUCCUUUGAUGGUUAUAGUUUCAGAGCUACUGCCUGGAAUGUCUCUUCGGAAGUACUUAGUCAGCAUUCGACCAAACGUGCUUGACCUACACGUCGCCAUAAAUUAUGCUCUUGACAUUGCUCGGGCCAUGGAAUGUUUACAUGCCAAUGGCAUUAUACAUAGAGAUCUAAAACCUGGUACCACUUGGCUAGCCGACUGUAGAAGAAUUU
rnacentral:misc_RNA from 1 species